UACGUAGGGGGCAAGCGUUGUCCGGAUUUAUUGGGCGUAAAGAGCGUGUAGGCGGCUAGAUAGGUCCGUUGUGAAAACUCGAGGCUCAACCUCGAGACGUCGAUGGAAACCAUCUGGCUAGAGUGCGGAAGAGGCGAGUGGAAUUCCUGGUGUAGCGGUGAAAUGCGCAGAUAUCAGGAGGAACACCUAUUGCGAAGGCAGCUCGCUGGGACGUAACUGACGCUGAGACGCGAAAGCGUGGGGAGCAAACAGG
rnacentral:rRNA from 1 species